rnacentral:rRNA from 1 species
UACGUAGGGUGCAAGCGUUGUCCGGAAUUAUUGGGCGUAAAGAGCUCGUAGGCGGUCUGUCGCGUCUGCUGUGAAAACUCGGGGCUUAACCCCGGGCCUGCAGUGGGUACGGGCAGACUAGAGUGCGGUAGGGGAGACUGGAAUUCCUGGUGUAGCGGUGAAAUGCGCAGAUAUCAGGAGGAACACCGGUGGCGAAGGCGGGUCUCUGGGCCGUAACUGACGCUGAGGAGCGAGAGCAUGGGGAGCGAACAGG